GACGAACGCUGGCGGCGUGCUUAACACAUGCAAGUCGAACGGAAAGGCCCUGCUUUUGUGGGGUGCUCGAGUGGCGAACGGGUGAGGAACACGUGAGUAACCUGCCCUUGACUUUGGGAUAACUUCAGGAAACUGGGGCUAAUACCGGAUAGGAGCUCCUGCUGCAUGGUGGGGGUUGGAAAGUUUCGGCGGUUGGGGAUGGACUCGCGGCUUAUCAGCUUGUUGGUGGGGUAGUGGCUUACCAAGGCUUUGACGGGUAGCCGGCCUGAGAGGGUGACCGGCCACAUUGGGACUGAGAUACGGCCCAGACUCCUACGGGAGGCAGCAGUGGGGAAUAUGGCACAAUGGGCGGAAGCCUGAUGCAGCAACGCCGCGUGCGGGAUGACGGCCUUCGGGUUGUAAACCGCUUUCGCCUGUGACGAAGCGUGAGUGACGGUAAUGGGUAAAGAAGCACCGGCUAACUACGU
rnacentral:rRNA from 1 species